rnacentral:rRNA from 1 species
GACGGAGGAUACAAGCGUUAUCCGGAAUGAUUGGGCGUAAAGCGUCCGCAGGUGGCAGUUCAAGUCUGCUGUCAAAGACCGGGGCUUAACUUCGGAAAGGCAGUGGAAACUGAACAGCUAGAGUAUGGUAGGGGCAGAGGGAAUUCCUGGUGUAGCGGUGAAAUGCGUAGAGAUCAGGAAGAACAUCGGUGGCGAAGGCGCUCUGCUGGACCAUAACUGACACUCAGGGACGAAAGCUAGGGGAGCGAACAGG